rnacentral:rRNA from 1 species
AGUGAACGCUGGCGGCGUGCUUAACACAUGCAAGUCGAACGAGAACGGGUUAUAGCUUGCUAUAAUUGUCAGCUAAGUGGCGCACGGGUGAGUAAUGUAUAGGUAAUAUGCCUCUUACUAAGGGAUAACAAAUGGAAACGUUUGCUAAUACCUUAUACUCCUUAUUAACAGAAGUUUAUAAGGGAAAGAUUUAUUGGUAAGGGAUUAGCCUGUAUUGUAUCAGUUAGUUGGUGGGGUAAUGGCUUACCAAGACUAUGACACAUAACUGGUUUGAGAGGAUGAUAAGUCAAACUGGAACUGAGACACGGUCCAGACUCCUACGGGAGGGAGCAGUGGGGAAUAUUGCACAAUGGGCGGAAGUCUGAUGCAGCAACGCCGCGUGGAGGAUGACACAUUUCGGUGCGUAAACUCCUUUUAUAUGCGAAGAUAAUGACGGUAUUAUAUGAAUAAGCACCGGCUAACUCCGUGCCAGCCGCCGCCGUAA